GGGUCAGUAGGCUGGUCGUGCCACCGGUACGUACUGGUCUCACUGAUUCCUCCUUCCUGAAGAACCGUAAUGCCAUUAAUUUGGUGUUGCGGGGAAACAGGACUGUUACUUUGAAAAAAUUAGAGUGUUUAAAGCAAGCUAGCGCUUGAAUACAUUAGCAUGGAAUAAUGAAAUAGGACGAUCGAUUCUAUUUUGUUGGCUUCUAGGAUUGACGUA
rnacentral:rRNA from 1 species